rnacentral:rRNA from 1 species
GGUUAACCGUAUAGGGGAGCCGCAGGGAAACCGAGUCUUAACUGGGCGUUAAGUUGCAGGGUAUAGACCCGAAACCCGGUGAUCUAGCCAUGGGCAGGUUGAAGGUUGGGUAACACUAACUGGAGGACCGAACCGACUAAUGUUGAAAAAUUAGCGGAUGACUUGUGGCUGGGGGUGAAAGGCCAAUCAAACCGGGAGAUAGCUGGUUCUCCCCGAAAGCUAUUUAGGUAGCGCCUCGUGAACUCAUCUUCGGGGGUAGAGCACUGUUUCGGCUAGGGGGUCAUCCCGACUUACCAACCCGAUGCAAACUACGAAUACCGAAGAAUGUUAUCACGGGAGACACACGGCGGGUGCUAACGUCCGUCGUGAAGAGGGAAACAACCCAGACCGCCAGCUAAGGUCCCAAAGUCAUGGUUAAGUGGGAAACGAUGUGGGAAGGCACAGACAGCCAGGAUGUUGGCUUAGAAGCAGCCAUCAUUUAAAGAAAGCGUAAUAGCUCACUGGUCGAGUCGGCCUGCGCGGAAGAUGUAACGGGGCUAAACCAUGCACCGAAGCUGCGGCAGCGACACUAUGUGUUGUUGGGUAGGGGAGCGUUCUGUAAGCCUGCGAAGGUGACCUGUGAGGGUUGCUGGAGGUAUCAGAAGUGCGAAUGCUGACAUAAGUAACGAUAAAGCGGGUGAAAAGCCCGCUCGCCGGAAGACCAAGGGUUCCUGUCCAACGUUAAUCGGGGCAGGGUGAGUCGACCCCUAAGGCGAGGCCGAAAGGCGUAGUCGAUGGGAAACAGGUUAAUAUUCCUGUACUUGGUGUUACUGCGAAGGGGGGACGGAGAAGGCUAUGUUAGCCGGGCGACGGUUGUCCCGGUUUAAGCAUGUAGGCUGGUUAUCCAGGCAAAUCCGGAUAAUCAAGGCUGAGGUGUGAUGACGAGG